rnacentral:tRNA from 1 species
GCCCCGGUAGCUCAGUCGGUAGAGUGCGCGCUUGGUAUGGGCGCACAAAAAGCGCGAGGUCGCGGGUUCGAUCCCCGCCCGGGGCU